CCCACAGCUACCUUUUUUACCUUUACUUUUUUUUUCUCUUCCGCGGGAAGCGUCUCCUCCGCGGCCGGCGAUUCCUCCUCUGUUCCUCCAUCUUUUUCCCCCUCGUUAGAUCUGAGAUGACCAUGGCAGCCGGUGGCCAUGCCCAUGCGCAGCGGCUCUCGACGGAGGCCGGCACGACGGGGCAGCGAGCGUCGUUCUGCAGAGGCACGCUCCCACUCGCGACGACGCUGGGUGAGGAGGUCCUCACGUUGGGCUCGUAGCGCGCGGAGGGAGACAGCACAGCUCGGCUGCGACAAGGGUCAACGACAGCCUACCGUGGACAAGAAGCAGCAGCCUAGGUCGCCACUGGGGUUUCCAUUUCCAUUCCCUUUCUUCAUUCUUAGAUCCACUUCUCCCCCUUUUCGCCCUUUCUCUAUCUGACAGAUUCGGAGAUGGGAGCGGCAGCACCAGCAAGGGCGCAUAACCCCGGUUAAGGCGCAGGGUCCAGCGAGGGAUCGGCAUGUCCCCGGUCUGGAAGGAAAUGAAACAAUCUACUGCCAUUUUUUGCAAAAUUAGAUUGAAAUUCUCUUUUUCCCACUCUACUAUAUUUUUUGUUCUCACAUCUCGUAUACACUAUUUUUAUCUGAGCAUGCACCUAUGUUGGUCAGCUAAAUUUCUAUGGACCAUAUUUUUCUUUUCUGGUUUUUUCUAUCACAUAAUAUCAAUAUUAUGCUCAAAACUUGUUGGAAUAAGUUAUAUCCGACUACUGUUUUUU